UACAGAGGGGGCAAGCGUUGUUCGGAAUUACUGGGCGUAAAGGGCGCGUAGGCGGCCCGCUAAGUCGAACGUGAAAUCCCCGAGCUCAACUCGGGAACUGCGUCCGAUACUGGUUGGCUUGAAUCCGGGAGAGGGAUGCGGAAUUCCAGGUGUAGCGGUGAAAUGCGUAGAUAUCUGGAGGAACACCGGUGGCGAAGGCGGCAUCCUGGACCGGCAUUGACGCUGAGGCGCGAAAGCCAGGGGAGCAAACGGG
rnacentral:rRNA from 1 species